AAUCCAUGUUGUGGGCACCUCCGUAAAAGAUCCUUGAUGCACUCCCAUGUCUCAAACAAUGAUUCCAAUUUCAUCAACACAAACAACGAUAUCUCAUAUCUAAGCAGU